GAUGAACGCUGGCGGCGUGCCUAACACAUGCAAGUCGAACGUGAGAGAUAAGAGAAGCGCUUCGGUGUGUAUUUUAUCUUGAAAGUGGCGGACGGGUGAGUAACACGUGGGUAACCUGCCUUGGAGUGGGGGAUAACCAUUGGAAACGAUGGCUAAUACCGCAUGGGUCUAUUUGUACGGGAGUACGGAUGGGUAAAGCCUAGUGCGCUUCAAGAGGGGCCUGCGGCCGAUUAGUUAGUUGGUGAGGUAAAGGCUCACCAAGGCGGAGAUCGGUAGCUGGUCUGAGAGGACGAUCAGCCACACGGGAACUGAGAGACGGUCCCGACUCCUACGGGGGGCAGCAGUGAGGAAUAUUGCACAAUGGGGGGAACCCUGAUGCAGCAACGCCGCGUGGAGGAUGAAGGUUUUUGGAUCGUAAACUCCUUUUUCGGGGAAGAGCAAGGACGGUACCCGGAGAAUAAGUCACGGCUAACUACGUG
rnacentral:rRNA from 1 species